rnacentral:sRNA from 1 species
AAUCCAUUAAGUGACCGAAACUUAAGCCAGGGGAAAGUAUCUCCGGCUGGCCCACCUCUUCCUGCUUUAGUAAAUAAAACAAAAAGAGUUAGGAUCCACUUGGCCAGACACUCCCAUGCGCAUAAAUUUCAAUAGCAAAUCCAUAGAUAGCCAUGGAAGUUGCGGGCCCUCUGCUCUCACAGACAGCGGAAAUUGUUGAGAUUUAUGGCGACGGGGUUCCAAAGGGCUGCGCCAUAUUUAUUUGAAACUCAUGACUGCGGCCAUUAGGUGGAAUGGAGCAGAUGGAACUGAAAGCGAAAGGCGUUCGAGUCCCAGUGUCCUGGGAAGCUGCUCUUCCUCCUCCGAUUCCGUCUCAAGUGACUAUUCACAGCUGAAGAUUUAUUGAAUGUGCGCGAUGCUGCCAGUCUGCCUUUCCCAUCGCCUCUGCCACGGAUUCUCUGGUGUCUGCCACUGAAAGUUGGCUCCGUCUGCUCUUUGGCAUUGGUAUUGAGUGUUUAUUUAUUUUCAAGCAUCAUAAAAAAUACACAGGCAUACACAGAACCAGACGGGAAAGCAUGGCCAGAAAGGAACCUCAAAGAUGGCUGGGAUGUGCAAAAA